CUGUUCUUGUCUAUUGAGCUGUUCUUGUCUAUUGAGCUGUUCUUGUCUAUUGAGCUGUUCUUGUCUAUUGAGCUGUUCUUGUCUAUUGAGCUGUUCUUGUCUAUUGAGCUGUUCUUGUCUAUUGAGCUGUUCUUGUGGACUCCAGAAAGAGUAGCUGCUGCUUUUGCAACAGUUAAUGGGGAUGCUCAUCAAAUACCAAGACCAAGUCUAGGCCUAGUUUGUCUAUCAAAUAAAAUCAUUUUUUGUAUUUUCCAAAUUCCGGUUAUCAAGUGCACCAAGAUCUGGUAUUAUUUUGAUUGAGUAAAUGUCCAAAUUACUGAGCACCUUGGGCAGUUAACAACAGCCUGGAAAUGGAGUAACAUGAAUGAUUGUUUGUGAGGCAUUAGAAUCAAAGGGGAAAUUAUAGGGUAGUGCACCAGCAUGGGAUACUACUGAAGUAGGCUCCCUGUACCAGCAGAUUAGCAUUGAGGAGGAUGGCUGUAAUUCCCUUGGACAACCUGGAAAUAGGACAUGUUGGUCAUCUUAUGAUUCGUCGUACUGGUCAUUGUACCGAUCAUGCUGGUCAUUAAGGCGGUCACGGCUGCCACCAUGGCGAACAGGCGGGUCAUCGAGGCGAUCACGGCUGCCACCAUGGCGAACAACAGGCGGGUCGUCAAGACGAUCACGGCUGCCACCAUGGCGAACAGGCGGGUCGUCGAGGCGAUCACGGCUGCCACCAUGGCGAACAACAGGUGGGUCGUCAAGGCGGUCACGGCUGCCACCAUGGCGAACAACAGGCGGGUCGUCAAGGCGAUCACGGCUGCCACCAUGGCGAACAACAGGCGGGUCGUCAAGACGAUCACGGCUGCCACCAUGGCGAACAGGUGGGUCGUCAAGGCGGUCACGGCUGCCACCAUGGCGAACAACAGGCGGGUCGUCAAGGCGGUCACGGCUNNNNNNNNNNUAGAGAAUGCAGUGAUGACAUCACAGAGGGCCAACCAACUUUCUGGUAGAGAAUGCAGUGAUGACAUCACAGAGGGCCAACCAACUUUCUGGUAG
rnacentral:lncRNA from 13 species